UCAGAUAUGGUGUAGCGGUAACACGUCCUUCAAUCGUUCCGAAGUGCAACAAAAAUUCAUAGGAUGUCCAGAGUUCGAUUCUCUGUGUCUGAU